rnacentral:tRNA from 1 species
GGGUAUAUAGCUCAGUGGUAGAGUGCCUGCUUAGUAUGCACGAGGUCCUGGGUUCAAUCCCCAGUACCUCCA